rnacentral:rRNA from 1 species
UAAAGGUAUUCCGGUAGACGAUGGGGAUGCGUUCCAUUAGAUAGUAGGCGGGGUAACGGCCCACCUAGUCUUCGAUGGAUAGGGGUUCUGAGAGGAAGGUCCCCCACAUUGGAACUGAGACACGGUCCAAAUUCCUACGGGAGGCAGCAGUGAGGAAUAUUGGUCAAUGGGCGAGAGCCUGAACCAGCCAAGUAGCGUGAAGGAUGACUGCCCUAUGGGUUGUAAACUUCUUUUAUAAAGGAAUAAAGUCGGGUAUGCAUACCCGUUUGCAUGUACUUUAUGAAUAAGGAUCGGCUAACUCCGUGCCAGCAGCCGCGGUAAUACGGAGGAUCCGAGCGUUAUCCGGAUUUAUUGGGUUUAAAGGGAGCGUAGAUGGAUGUUUAAGUCAGUUGUGAAAGUUUGCGGCUCAACCGUAAAAUUGCAGUUGAUACUGGAUAUCUUGAGUGCAGUUGAGGCAGGCGGAAUUCGUGGUGUAGCGGUGAAAUGCUUAGAUAUCACGAAGAACUCCGAUUGCGAAGGCAGCCUGCUAAGCUGCAACUGACAUUGAGGCUCGAAAGUGUGGGUAUCAAACAGGAUUAGAUACCCUGGUAGUCCACACGGUAAACGAUGAAUACUCGCUGUUUGCGAUAUACUGCAA